GAUGAAGAACGUAGCGAAAUGCGAUACGUAAUGUGAAUUGCAAAUUCAGUGAAUCAUCGAGUCUUUGAACGCACAUUGCGCCCCCUGGUAUUCCGGGGGGCAUGCCUGUCCGAGCGUCAUUGCUGCCCUCAAGCACGGCUUGUGUGUUGGGCCCCGUCCUCCGAUCCCGGGGGACGGGCCCGAAAGGCAGCGGCGGCACCGCGUCCGGUCCUCGAGCGUAUGGGGCUUUGUCACCCGCUCUGUAGGCCCGGCCGGCGCUUGCCGUUCAACCCAAAUUUUUUAUCCAGGUUGACCUCGGAUCAGGUAGGGAUACCCGCUGAACUUAAGCAUAUCAAUAAGCGGAGGA
rnacentral:misc_RNA from 1 species